CUGCCCGAAAUGCUUGAGUACUGGCUAGCUGGGAUGUGGCUUUUGGGCCUUCGUGCCAUGUCACGGUGCCCCUUGCAGGCGGGCACGUUCAUGGGCGUGACACAUGUCUGUAUGUGUGUGUGUCGCGCUCCUCUGAUGUGUCCGCGCUGGGUGAUCCUAUCGAAGCAUCACACGGUAAUUGCCCACCACAGCUCGUUGCUUGGUCACCCGCUGGGUCUAAACGUGCAGGAUGCUCAUCCAGUAUCCGGACUGUCAAUGCUGACGCGUGUUUAUGGGCGAUGGUACCGCACGGAGGGCUUUUCCGUGCGCGUACGCGCUCGCGUCACGUCCGUGAUAAAUCCUGGCUCUGACUGCCGACUUGUAGACGUGGUGUGAUCCAUUCGGCGACGAAGCUGGAAUUGGCCAGACACAUACAACCCCAGCACUGCGGCCAUGUGUCGGUCGCGGUGUACCUGCGGGCAGGCUGCUUGCGUCGCAUGCUCGCAUACGCUCAGCCUGGGAGUUGGUCUGAUUGGUGAUGAUCUAGCGACCAUCGGUCACGUCUCGAAACACGGGCCAAGGAGUAUAGCAUGUGUGCAAGUC
rnacentral:rRNA from 1 species